UUUCAAGUUGUUAUUCAUCGCCAAGUAAGAAUUUGCAGUUGUCUUACUCCACUUUAAUACUCAAUUACGCUGUGCUUUUAAUUGAAAAGAAGGAUCAAGAAGGUCAAUCUCAAGUUCUUUCAGCAGCUCUUGUGAUGCUUGAUGGUCUUGUGAGAAAAAUUGCCUUGGACCUUGAUGUUGAGGACAUUGCCAAAGCGGCAAAGGCCUCUAAAGACGCCAAAAUUGCUGAAGUUGGGGUUGACAUUGAACUGUUAACUAAACAGAGCUGAAUCUCUCAAGUCCCUGGUUUGAAUAAAUAAUGACAGCUUAAAGUGAAUCUAAAAUAGAAGAUGAACCUUAGAGCAUCCACACUGGUAGCAGGAAAGUUGAUGUUUCCUUUAGAGCAUCCACACUGGUAGCAGUAAAUAGCUAUAUUGCUACUUUAGCACCACCA